UACGUAGGGGGCUAGCGUUGUCCGGAAUCAUUGGGCGUAAAGCGCGCGUAGGCGGCCCGAUAAGUCUGCUGUGAAAGUCCAGGGCUCAACCCUGGAAUGCCGGUGGAUACUGUCGGGCUAGAGUUCGGAAGAGGCAAGUGGAAUUCCUGGUGUAGCGGUGAAAUGCGUAGAUAUCAGGAGGAACACCGAUGGCGAAGGCAGCUCGCUGGGACGGUACUGACGCUGAGGCGCGAAAGCGUGGGGAGCGAACAGG
rnacentral:rRNA from 1 species